rnacentral:rRNA from 1 species
UACGUAGGGUGCGAGCGUUGUCCGGAAUUAUUGGGCGUAAAGAGCUCGUAGGCGGUUUGUCACGUCUGCUGUGAAAGCUGAAGGCUUAACCUUUCAGUGUGCAGUGGGUACGGGCAGGCUGGAGUGCAGUAGGGGAGACUGGAAUUCCUGGUGUAGCGGUGAAAUGCGCAGAUAUCAGGAGGAACACCGAUGGCGAAGGCAGGUCUCUGGGCUGUUACUGACGCUGAGGAGCGAAAGCAUGGGGAGCGAACA